rnacentral:misc_RNA from 1 species
GUUUGAAUCUCUCAUAAAAUUCAUGAUUUCUUCUUUAGAUUUUCUGAUUAGCUCAUUAGAUUUUCUUAUUAGCUUUUUGUUAGAUAUUUCUUUCAAACUUUGUGCUUGGAGGUAGUUGGCCAGCUUAUAAAUGAGCCGGAUUUUAUUGAGCUGAGCUCCGAUUAGUUCAUCCUAUUUGGAGACUAUUAUUAACAAUAAUCAUUCCCUUCAACAUGUUAUUUUUUAUUUUAAUUUUAGAUGGUUGUGUGUGCAUGAAUAUAUUCGGCAGGUAAAAGAAAGAAAGGAGAGGG